rnacentral:rRNA from 1 species
AUGAACGCUGGCGGCGUGCCUAAUCCCUGCAAGUCGAGCGCACAGACGAGGAGCUUGCUCCUCUGACGUUAGCGGCGGACGGGUGAGUAACACGUGGAUAACCUACCUAUAAGACUGGGAUAACUUCGGGAAACCGGAGCUAAUACCGGAUAACAUGUUGAACCGCAUGGUUCAACAGUGAAAGACGGUUUUGCUGUCACUUAUAGAUGGAUCCGCGUCGCAUUAGCUAGUUGGUAAGGUAACGGCUUACCAAGGCAACGAUGCGUAGCCGACCUGAGAGGGUGAUCGGCCACACUGGAACUGAGACACGGUCCAGACUCCUACGGGAGGCAGCAGUAGGGAAUCUUCCGCAAUGGGCGAAAGCCUGACGGAGCAACGCCGCGUGAGUGAAGAAGGUCUUCGGAUCGUAAAACUCUGUUAUUAGGGAAGAACAAAUGUGUAAGUAACUAUGCACGUCUUGACGGUACCUAAUCAGAAAGCCACGGCUAACUACGUG